rnacentral:ribozyme from 13 species
UUUUUUUAUUUAUUUAUUUAUUUAUUUAUUUAUUUACUAAUGCGCGUUGUUAUUACCACCCUAACGCAAGAGGGUAAUGCCUGCUACAAUUACCGGACAG